UACGAAGGGUGCAAACGUUGCUCGGAAUUAUUGGGCGUAAAGCGCACGUAGGCGGCUUUGCAAGUCGGAUGUGAAAUCCCUCGGCUUAACCAAGGAAGUGCAUCCGAAACUGCAGAGCUUGAGUACUUAAGAGGAUCGCGGAAUUCCCGGUGUAGAGGUGAAAUUCGUAGAUAUCGGGAGGAACACCAGUGGCGAAGGCGACUUCCUGGCCUGUUCUUGACGCUGAGGCGCGAAAGCUAGGGGAGCAAACGGG
rnacentral:rRNA from 1 species